rnacentral:rRNA from 1 species
AUCAUGAGUUCACAUGUCCGCAUGAUUAAAGGUAUUUUCCGGUAGACGAUGGGGAUGCGUUUCAUUAGAUAGUAGGCGGGGUAACGGCCCACCUAGUCAACGAUGGAUAGGGGUUCUGAGAGGAAGGUCCCCCACAUUGGAACUGAGACACGGUCCAAACUCCUACGGGAGGCAGCAGUGAGGAAUAUUGGUCAAUGGGCGAUGGCCUGAACCAGCCAAGUAGCGUGAAGGAUGACUGCCCUAUGGGUUGUAAACUUCUUUUAUAAAGGAAUAAAGUCGGGUAUGCAUACCCGUUUGCAUGUACUUUAUGAAUAAGGAUCGGCUAACUCCGUGCCAGCAGCCGCGGUAAUACGGAGGAUCCGAGCGUUAUCCGGAUUUAUUGGGUUUAAAGGGAGCGUAGAUGGAUGUUUAAGUCAGUUGUGAAAGUUUGCGGCUCAACCGUAAAAUUGCAGUUGAUACUGGAUGUCUUGAGUGCAGUUGAGGCAGGCGGAAUUCGUGGUGUAGCGGUGAAAUGCUUAGAUAUCACGAAGAACUCCGAUUG